rnacentral:antisense_RNA from 1 species
UUUGUCAGACUCUUACAUUGACAGGGUGAAGACACUACCCAGGAGAAAACAGUGAGGGCAGGGUUCGAGGCCAACUCCCACACAGUCAGGAGAAAUGUGGAUACAAUUGUGCUGUCAAUUUUAAAGGUCUGGAUCUUCUCAUCCCUAUCCGAGUCGCUGUUUCCUUCUUUAAGAACGUGAUUCUAAACGGAAGCGCUCUACAUGGUGUGAGCCUGUUACCAAGAAUACAUCUCCCGAGA